rnacentral:rRNA from 1 species
CCUACGGGAGGCAGCAGUGGGGAAUUUUGGACAAUGGGCGCAAGCCUGAUCCAGCCAUGCCGCGUGCGGGAAGAAGGCCUUCGGGUUGUAAACCGCUUUUGUCAGGGAAGAAAUCCCUUGAGCUAAUACCUCGGGGGGAUGACGGUACCUGAAGAAUAAGCACCGGCUAACUACGUGCCAGCAGCCGCGGUAAUACGUAGGGUGCAAGCGUUAAUCGGAAUUACUGGGCGUAAAGCGUGCGCAGGCGGUUAUGUAAGACAGGUGUGAAAUCCCCGGGCUUAACCUGGGAACUGCACUUGUGACUGCAUAGCUUGAGUGCGGCAGAGGGGGGAUGGAAUUCCGCGUGUAGCAGUGAAAUGCGUAGAUAUGCGGAGGAACACCGAUGGCGAAGGCAAUCCCCUGGGCCUGCACUGACGCUCAUGCACGAAAGCGUGGGGAGCAAACAGGAUUAGAUACCCUGGUAGUCCACGCCCUAAACGAUGUCAACUGGUUGUUGGACGGCUUGCUGUUCAGUAACGUAGCUAACGCGUGAAGUUGACCGCCUGGGGAGUCGGCCGCAAGGUUGAAACUCAAAGAUAGUGCGNGAGAGAGCGACGACGGACGACGAGGAGGGAGGAG